rnacentral:lncRNA from 12 species
CAGAGCUGCAGCAUUUCCCACUCCAAGCUGUGCCCUGAGCACUGAGCACUCAGGGGAGGGGGGUGUGAGCAGCAAAGGGACAUUCCCAAAGCUCAGCCACCUCUAAUUCCCUCUGCCUUGAGCCUGGUGCUCUCUCCUUGGCCCCCAUCCUCAGAUGUGAGGAUGGGAACAGGGAUGGGACAGGGAUGGAGCUGGGAUGGGACAGGGAUGGAGCUGGGAUGGAGCGGGGGAUGGAGCAGGGAUGGAGCUGGGAUGGAGCAGGGAUGGAGCUGGGAUGGAGCAGGGAUGGAGCUGGGAUGGAGCAGUCCCACACUCCCUCAGCUUUGCCCAGACCUUCACUCAUGGCACUGGAUGGGUGCCAUCACCAAUUAAUUCAUUUCUCAGCUGAUGAUGGGGACCCAAAUAUCUAUUCCUCACGGCCAGAAGCUGGGAAGAACUGGCACAGGUGCCCAGAGCAGCUGUGGCUGCCCCUGGAUCCCUGGCAGUGCCCAAGGCCAGGCUGGACACUGGGGCUGGAGCACCUGGGACAGGGGAAGGUGGCAGAGGAUGGAAAUGGAUGAUCCUGAAGGUCCCUCCCAACCCAAAAAUCCCCUGAUCCUUCCUUGCACUAGAGAAGUGGCCAUCAGCAGAGAUGGGAGGGCCAGCAGGGGCUGCUCCAGCAGCUCUGGAUGAGGGAUGUAUUUCUGCCUUGGCAACACCUGGCUGGGCCAGGAGCUUGUUCCCUGCUGCCCUGGCAGGCUGAAGCUCCAUCCUUGUCCUGCUGUCAUGAGGAGGUGCAAGGUUGAACCUCUG